rnacentral:rRNA from 1 species
GUCCACGCCCUAAACGAUGUCAACUGGUUGUUGGACGGCUUGCUGUUCAGUAACGAAGCUAACGCGUGAAGUUGACCGCCUGGGGAGUACGGCCGCAAGGUUGAAACUCAAAGGAAUUGACGGUGACCCGCACAAGCGGUGGAUUAUGUGGUUUAAUUCGAUGCAACGCGAAAACCUUACCUACCCUUGACAUGUCUGGAAUCCUGAAGAGAUUUGGGAGUGCUCGAAAGAGAGCCAGAACACAGGUGCUGCAUGGCCGUCGU